rnacentral:lncRNA from 1 species
CCGCCCGCAGGGCUGCUCUGGCCGGGACCCGCUGGCCGGGAGACGCGAACCUGCCGGACCACCGCGCGGGGACGACGGCGGCCAUGAGCUCGCGGAAGCUGAGCGGGCCGAAAGGCAGGAGGCUCAGCAUACACGUCGUGACUUGGAACGUGGCUUCGGCAGCGCCCCCUCUAGAUCUCAGUGACCUGCUUCAGCUGAACAACCGGAACCUCAAUCUUGACAUAUAUGUUAUUGGGUCUCCCAUGUCCGUAUGCAGGGGAUCCUCUUACUGGUCUUUGCCAAGUAUCAGCAUUUGCCCUAUAUCCAGAUUCUGUCUACUAAAUCCACCCCCACUGGCCUGUUUGGGUACUGGGGGAACAAAGGUGGAGUCAACAUCUGCCUGAAGCUUUAUGGCUACUAUGUCAGCAUCAUCAACUGCCACCUGCCUCCCCACAUUUCCAACAAUUACCAGCGGCUGGAGCACUUUGACCGGAUCCUGGAGAUGCAGAAUUGUGAGGGGCGAGACAUCCCAAACAUCCUGGACCACGAGUGAGCCUGGCCUCAUUAUCUGGUUUGGAGACAUGAACUUUCGGAUCGAGGACUUUGGGUUGCACUUUGUUCGGGAAUCCAUUAAAAAUCGGUGCUACGGUGGCCUG